rnacentral:rRNA from 1 species
CAAUUUACCAAUCCAUCGGGAGGUAGGACGAGUAUGACAGUGCCGUAAUCAGAUGAUUCGGCUACUGAAUUGAGAACGAUGAAGAAUGUUAUCGAAUAUCUGUUGGAGGGCAAGUCUGGUGCCAGCAGCCGCGGUAAUUCCGCUCGAAGAGCGUCUGUUAAUGUUGCUGCGCUUGAAACGCUCGUCGUUGAAUCUCUGGCAAUUGCCUACGGACACUUCUAUUGUGGUACCGUAGGAAAGUGCCUUUUUGUAUCUUUCGUCGUUGAUUCACUUAAUUGUGUGUCACGUUCGAGAGCCACUUUCACUUUGGAGAAAUCAGUGUGCUCAUAACAGGCUUAUGCCUGCAUAAACUGCAUGGGAUGAUGAAACUGGGCCUUUGACUCGUUUCGUUGGUUUACGAUUGCAAAGGCCAUGAUUAAUCGGGACAGACGGGGGCAUUCGUAUUGCGUCGAUAGAAGUGAAAUUCGGUGACCGACGUAAGACGAACAAUCGCGAAAGCAUUUGCCAAGAAUGUUUUCAUUAAUCAAGAACGAAAGUUAGAGUAUCGAAGACGAUUAGAUACCGUCCUAGUUCUAACUGUAAACGAUGCCAACCAGGGUUUCGUCAUAGCUUAUAUGCUUGACGAGCACCCUCCGGGAAACCUGAGUAAUCGGGUUCCGGGGGGAGUAUGGUUGCAGAAUCGAAACUUAAAGGAAUUGACGGAAGGGCACACCAGGAGUGGAGCCUGCGGCUUAAUUUGACUCAACGCACGAUAGCCGACUCGGU